GCCUCUUCCGCCUCGGCGAUGGCGGAGGCCGAGGAGGAGCUGGCGCACGCCGAGGUGCUGGAGCUCUUCCAGGAGGCGCUGGCGCGGCUGGUGCAGGACCCGCUGCUCUGCGACCUCCCGCCGCAGGUGACGCCGGAGGAGAUCGGCUCUCAGGUGGCGCUGGAGUACGGGCAGGCCAUGACGGUGCGCGUCUGCAAGGCGGACGGCGAGACCAUGCCCGUGGUGGUGGUGCAGAACGCGACCGUGCUGGAGCUGAAGAAGGCGCUGCGGAGGCACGUCCAGCUGCGGCAGGCGCGGCAGGGCGGCGCCCAGCACCUCAGCUGGAAGUACAUCUGGAGGACGUACCACCUCACCUACGCCGGAGAGAAACUGGCAGAUGACAGAAAGAAGCUGAGAGAGUAUGGCAUCAGAAACCGGGAUGAGGUCAGCUUCAUUAAGAAACUUCGAAAGUAACCUGUCAGGGCAGGGAAUGAUGAUUCAGCUACUUCAGUUAACAAACCACAUCAGGAGCAGCAGAAGCAAUAGCUAAGUGCUAGCAAUGGUGCAUCUCUAACCCCUACAUUACACACUUGAUGACUCUCUGGAAAUCACUGUCAGAAAUGUGGCAGGUUGUUAACUAAUGCCUAGGAAGAUGAGGUCUCUCUGUUAGAGGUGACUGCCACCAUCCAGUUCAUUUGAUCCUCCUGUGAGUCUCAUUAUACCCAAGUGACUCUUCCACCUGCUCCUAAUGCUCCUAUACCCUUCAGAGCACCUGCAGUUAACAGAAGUGUCCCAUGGGUGCACAUACAUAAACACAAUGAGAGCAGAGAAUCCAGCUCUACCACGACCAGGCACUGGAUCCAGCACUCCCCUACAGGAAAAGAUGGUACCACUUCCCAGAGAAGCAAACUCCAGUUGAACAGAAAUUCCUACGUGUUUUCAAAGUCCUUGUUCAAAAUGUUUUCCUCUGAGCUGUAUGCUGAAUGCACUAUCAGUGAUUAAAGAGACUCUAGUUUUCUGAA